rnacentral:rRNA from 1 species
AUUGAACGCUGGCGGCAGGCCUAACACAUGCAAGUCGAGCGAGCGGCGGACGGGUGAGUAAUGUAUGGGGACUGCCCGAUAGAGGGGGAUAACUCCUGGAAACGGUAGCUAAUACCGCAUACUAUCGGAUAACCCAUAUGGGAUUAGCUAGUAGGUGAGGUAAUGGCUCACCUAGGCGACGAUCCCGAGCUGGUCUGAGAGGAUGAUCAGCCACACUGGGACUGAGAAACGGCCAAGACGCCUACGGAGGCAGCAGUGGGGAAUAUUGCACAAUGGGCGCAAGCCUGAUGCAGCCAUGCCGCGUGGAUGAAGAAGGCCCUAGGGUUGUAAAGUACUUUCAGUCGGGAGGCGUUACCGACAGAAGAAGCACCGGCUAACUCCGUGCCAGCAGCCGCGGUAAUUC